UACGUAGGGUGCAAGCGUUAAUCGGAAUUACUGGGCGUAAAGCGUGCGCAGGCGGUUUUGUAAGUCUGUCGUGAAAUCCCCGGGCUCAACCUGGGAAUUGCGAUGGAGACUGCAAGGCUAGAAUCUGGCAGAGGGGGGUAGAAUUCCACGUGUAGCAGUGAAAUGCGUAGAGAUGUGGAGGAACACCGAUGGCGAAGGCAGCCCCCUGGGUCAAUACUGACGCUCAUGCACGAAAGCGUGGGGAGCAAACAGG
rnacentral:rRNA from 1 species